rnacentral:pre_miRNA from 1 species
UGGACAGAUUAUUGUAUUCGACUGUAUUCACGGCGUGAAACAUGAGAUUACACUGUUUUUAAAACGGAAAGUGAAUCAAUUAACAUAAUAGACUCCU